UACCAGCACCCCGAGUGGUCGGGACGAUUAUUGGGCCUAAAGCAUCCGUAGCUUGUUCUGCAAGUCCUCCGUUAAAUCCACCUGCUCAACAGAUGGGCUGCGGGGGAUACUACAGGGCUAGGAGGCGGGAGAGGCAAACGGUACUCAGUGGGUAGGGGUAAAAUCCUCUGAUCCACUGAAGACCACCAGUGGCGAAGGCGACUACCUGGCCUGUUCUUGACGCUGAGGCGCGAAAGCUAGGGGAGCAAACGGG
rnacentral:rRNA from 1 species